rnacentral:rRNA from 1 species
GAUAAACGCUGGCGGCGUGCAUAACACAUGCAAGUCGAACGCAGUGGCGAACGGGUGAGUAACACGUGGGUAACCUGCCUUACACAAGGGGAUAGCCUUUGGAAACGAAGAAUAAUACCCUAUAGUGUAAGAUGGACUUGCGUCUGAUUAGCUAGUUGGUGAGAUAAAAGCCCACCAAGGCGACGAUCCGUAGCCGGCUUGAGAGAAUGUACGGCACCAUUGCGACAGAGAGACGGCCCAAACUCUACGAGAGGCAGCAAUGGGGAAUGAGGCACGAUGCGGGAAAGACUGAGGCAGCGGCGCCGCGAGAUUUAGUAGGCUGUCGGGUUGUAAAAAUCUUUUAUAUGGGAUGCGGUACCAGAAGAAUAAGGUCCGGCUAAAUACGUGCCAGCAGCCGCGGUAAUUC